GAAACCAACUGGAUGCAUAGAAAUGCUGUAGACGUUUGAGAUGGUACACCAUUGCGAUUUCCUUUUUCUUUUUCUCAAAGAGAAGGUGCACGAGAUUCAUCAGUAGGUAAGCACUUGUGGCAAUUGAAAAUGUUAGUGAAAACUGGGAAACUCACACUGGCUUUGUCUUGGAUACAUUUGAGAUGAUGAUGCAGAGACUCGAUGUUACAGAUCUGAUAAGUUUGAUAAGAUUUUGGGGCAUUAUGCAGUUAUGAAAAUGCUCGCUUACUUUUCUUCUAUCUAUAUACAGGUGGAAAUUGGAAACUGUGUUACCUUCUACUCUGAGAAGGUAUGAUGUGUUCUUUCUAUUUUGCAUGUUCAUUUAAGGCUUGUCCUGACUUGUUACACCUCUCUAAUUUUUCUUUGCCCUUCAAGAACCACCAAAGUCCUUCCCGAGAAUUUACG
rnacentral:lncRNA from 1 species